GAUGAACGCUAGCGGGAGGCCUAACACAUGCAAGCCGAGCGGUAUUGUUUCUUCGGAAAUGAGAGAGCGGCGUACGGGUGCGUAACACGUGUGCAACCUGCCUUUAUCUGGGGGAUAGCCUUUCGAAAGGAAGAUUAAUACUCCAUAAUAUAUUGAACGGCAUCGUUUAAUAUUGAAAGCUCCGGCGGAUAGAGAUGGGCACGCGCAAGAUUAGCUAGUUGGUGAGGUAACGGCUCACCAAGGCGAUGAUCUUUAGGGGGCCUGAGAGGGUGAUCCCCCACACGGGUACUGAGACACGGACCAGACUCCUACGGGAGGCAGCAGUGAGGAAUAUUGGUCAAUGGGUGCAAGCCUGAACCAGCCAUCCCGCGUGAAGGACGACUGCCCUAGGGGUUGUAAACUUCUUUUGGAUAGGGAUAAACCUACCCUCGAGAGGGUAGCUGAAGGUACUAUACGAAUAAGCACCGGCUAACUCCGUG
rnacentral:rRNA from 1 species